rnacentral:rRNA from 1 species
UCCAGACUCCUACGGGAGGCAGCAGUGGGGAAUAUUGCACAAUGUUCGCACGCCUGAUUCCGCCCUGCCGCGUGUCUGAAGAAGGCCUUCGGGUUGUAAAGUACUUUCAGUCGGGAGGAAGGUGUCAAGGUUCAUAACCUUGGCCAUUGACGUUACCGACAGAAGAAGCACCGGCUAACUCCGUGCCAGCAGCCGCGGUAAUACGGAGGGUGCAAGCGUUAAUCGGAAUUACUGGGCGGAAAGCGCACGCAGGCGGUUGAUUGAGGCAGAUGUGAAAUCCCCGGGCUUAGCCCGGGAAUUGCAUCGGAUACUGGUCAGCUAGAGUCGGGGAGAGGGGGGGAGAAUUCCAUGUGGAGCGGUGAAAUGCGGAGAGAUGUGGAGGAAGACCGGUGGCGAAGGCGGCCCCCUGGACAAAGACUGCCGCGCAGGUGCGAAAGCGGGGGGAGCAAACAGGAGGAGAUACCCCUGUAGA